rnacentral:ncRNA from 1 species
AAAGAAAUCGACGGCAGAGAGCUGCCAGGGUCAGAGCUGGUGCCUUCAUUUGGCUCAGCGCAGGAAACCUUGCUCCGUCCAGAUACGGAGAGGAUUAACGGAUGGAUAUGCUAUUUCUCAUUUCUGUGGCACAUAAUUAUUCUUAGUCCAUGGAGCGAUUUGUCAGCUUAAUUCCAGUAACGGCAGUGAAUAAUGACGGAUGGCUAGGAAAGAGCAUGGAAGAUGGCAUGUAGUGAUACCUCCUCACAUACAGUUUCAUCCUGCAAAAACUCAUACCUUGACAACAUUUUAUGGUGGAGUUGUUGCCUUCAUUUUUGAUAGCCCCCAAUGCCUCCCCCCCCCCCCUUUUUU